rnacentral:misc_RNA from 1 species
GAUGAAGAACGUAGCGAAAUGCGAUACUUGGUGUGAAUUGCAGAAUCCCGUGAACCAUCGAGUCUUUGAACGCAAGUUGCGCCUGAAGCCUCGGCUAAGGGCACGUCUGCCUGGGCGUCACGCAUCGCGUCUCCCCCAAACCGCCAAGGCGGAGGGGAAGGAAGAUGGCUUCCCGUGCCUCACCCGGCGCGGUUGGCCUAAAUUUGGAGCCCGCGGCACUUAGCUCACGCGGCGAUAGGUGGUGAACAAGGCCUUGGCCGUGCAAACAACCCGCUGCGAAGCUCUAUGUCACGUGCGCUCGUCGGACCCUUUGAAGUUGCCUUCGGUGACUUAAAACCUUUGCGACCCCAGGUCAGGCGGGGCUACCCGCUGAAUUUAAGCAUAUCAAUAAGCAGAGGA